rnacentral:rRNA from 1 species
CAGCCGCCGCGGUAAGACAGAGGAUGCAAGCGUUAUCCGGAAUGAUUGGGCGUAAAGCGUCUGUAGGUGGCUUUUCAAGUCCGCCGUCAAAUCCCAGGGCUCAACCCUGGACAGGCGGUGGAAACUACCAAGCUGGAGUACGGUAGGGGCAGAGGGAAUUUCCGGUGUAGCGGUGAAAUGCGUAGAUAUCGGAAGGAACACCUGUGGCGAAAGCGGCUCACUGGACCAUUUCUGACGCUGAUGCACGAAAGCUAGGGGAGCAAACAGGAUUAGAUACCCGUGUAGUCCCUGUCUCUUAUAC